GACGAACGCUGGCGGCGUGCUUAACACAUGCAAGUCGAACGGAAAGGCCCUGCUCUUGUGGGGUGCUCGUGUGGCGAACGGGUGUGUAACACGUGAGUAACCUGCCCUUGACUUUGGGAUAACUUCAGGAAACUGGGGCUAUUACCGGAUAGGAGCUCCUGCUGCAUGGUGGGGGUUGGAAAGUUUCGGCGGUUGGGGCUGGAAUCGCGGCUUAUCAGCUUGUUGGUGGGGUAGUGGCUUACAAAGGCUUUGACGGGUAGCCGGCCUGAGAGGGUGACCGGCCACAUGGGGACUAAGGGAGGCACCAGUAGCCAACGGGAGGCAGCAGGGGGGAAUAUUGCGCAAUGGGCGGAAGCCUGAGACGGCGACGCCGCGUGCGGGAUGACGGCCUUCGGGUGGUAAACCGCUUUCGCCUGUGACGAAGCGUGAGUGACGGUAAUGAGUAAAGAAGCACCGGCUAACUACGUG
rnacentral:rRNA from 1 species